AUCCAGCUGAUGAGUCCCAAAUAAAACGAGACGCAUGUUCUGGAU
rfam:Schistosoma haematobium scaffold172_14, whole genome shotgun sequence.